rnacentral:rRNA from 1 species
UACGGAGGGUGCAAGCGUUAUCCGGAUUCACUGGGUUUAAAGGGUGCGUAGGCGGUCUAUUAAGUCAGCGGUGAAAUACUCCAGCUUAACUGGAGGGGUGCCAUUGAUACUGAUGGACUUGAGUCAAGUCGAGGUAGGCGGAAUUGACGGUGUAGCGGUGAAAUGCUUAGAUAUCGUCAAGAACACCAAUAGUGAAGACAGCUUACUGGGCUUAAACUGACGCUGAGGCACGAAAGUGUGGGGAUCAAACAGG